GUUCUAGCUCAGUGGGCGGGAGAGCAUAAAUUGCAGCUGUCCUCAGCCUUGCUGCAUUUUUACCGAAGACUUCCAAAGGCAACAUGAAGUUGGGGGGUUUUCUCCUCCUGGCGAUGCUCCUCACCCUCAGCUCAGAGGUACAGGAGCUCCAGGCUGCGGUGAGACCACGGCAACUUCUGGGCACCUGCAUUGAGGUCUGCAGCGGCGACUGGGAUUGUGACCUAGGGGAGAGGUGCGUCAGCAAUGGGUGUGGCCAUGUCUGUGCUGCAGUUUAAGGACAGAUGAAGACUCAUCUUGAAGGUCAUCCUUCCCUAAUAAUUUCUCAACACUUCCUGUCUUCAAAGAUACAACUGGAACUCCUUGACCAGGAAGACAGAUGAAAAUGGGGGUCUGUGGGUAGAGAUUACAAGAGAUGUGGUGGGGAAGGGGAAAGAGUCAUUUCUUUUAAUAAAUCAUCAUUGUCAACAGUA